GUUAGACGUUAAUCAGCUCCGGUGGCCGUGUCGGAGCCGUAACGCACCGCAGACAUGUGCAGUGUAAAUAAGGGAGAUCUCUGUGGGACUGGGACACGAGCCACUUUAUUCACAUUUUUAUAGAGGAGCAGUAACAAAGAAAAUGGGAAUAUUUAACUCUACAGUUGAGGUGAAUGGUUGUAGACGAUGCAGGCCGGUUUCACACAGUGGAUCACAU